rnacentral:lncRNA from 1 species
CCUCACCCCACUCUCAGCUCCUAUGAGCCUGACUUCUUUAGAUCCCCCAGUAAGUAGGAACACGUGGUAUGAGCGUCCCUGGGUCUGACAAAGCUCAUCCUCGGCUUUCAUUCACUGUUGGGGCUGAAUGCUGCUCUGUUGUGCUCUCCACGUCCUUCAUCCAGCCAUCUGCGAUGGGCACCUGGGUGGACUCCAUACCCGGCCACUGUGCGCGUGCUGUCCACCUGGGCUGCAGCCCUCUGCCUGACGGGUGGCUUUCCUUCCCUUUGGAUGGCUCCCCGGUGGUGGGAUUGCUGCACCCCAUGAGGCUGCUCUGGUCUCGAGGUACCUCC